rnacentral:rRNA from 1 species
UAGGGAAUCUUCCGCAAUGGACGAAAGUCUGACGGAGCAACGCCGUGUGAGUGAAGAAGGAUUUCGGUUCGUAAAACUCUGUUGUUAGGGAAGAAAAAAUGUAUAGUAACUAUAUACAAAAGAGACGGUACCUAACCAGAAAGCCACGGCUAACUACGUGCCAGCAGCCGCGGUAAUACGUAGGUGGCAAGCGUUGUCCGGAAUUAUUGGGCGUAAAGCGCGCGCAGGUGGUUUAGAAAGUCUGAUGUGAAAGCCCACGGCUCAACCGUGGAGGGUCAUUGGAAACUAAUAAACUUGAGUGCAGGAGAGAAAAGUGGAAUUCCUAGUGUAGCGGUGAAAUGCGUAGAGAUUAGGAGGAACACCGGUGGCGAAAGCGGCUUUUUGGCCUGCAACUGACACUGAGGCGCGAAAGCGUGGGGAGCAAACAGG